AUUGAACGCUGGCGGCAUGCCUUACACAUGCAAGUCGAACGGCAGCGCGGGAGCAAUCCUGGCGGCGAGUGGCGAACGGGUGAGUAAUGUAUCGGAACGUGCCCAGUAGUGGGGGAUAGCCCGGCGAAAGCCGGAUUAAUACCGCAUACGACCUACGGGUGAAAGGGGGGGAUCGCAAGACCUCUCGCUAUUGGAGAGGCACAUAUCAGAUUAGGUAGUUGGUGGGGUAAAGGCCUACCAAGCCUGCGAUCUGUAGUUGGUCUGAGAGGACGACCAGCCACACUGGGACUGAGACACGGCCCAGACUCCUACGGGAGGCAGCAGUGGGGAAUUUUGGACAAUGGGCGCAAGCCUGAUCCAGCAAUGCCGCGUGCAGGAUGAAGGCCUUCGGGUUGUAAACUGCUUUUGUACGGAACGAAAAGACUCUGGUUAAUACCUGGGGUCCAUGACGGUACCGUAAGAAUAAGCACCGGCUAACUACGUGCCAGCCGCCGCCGUAAUAC
rnacentral:rRNA from 1 species